CUUUUUUGGUUUCUAAACCUAAAUUGAAGACUAACACGCAGACAAUUUUUCUUCUUCUUCCUCGAUUCCUCUUCUCGAAAUCUGAGAAACAGAGAUUGCAUCAAUGGUGGCUCUCUGCUCCAGCGAUUCUCUCUGAGAAGAAACCCCUUUUUCCCUUCCACACCCAUCCUCGAUUUUCUCAGAGGGGUUUCGUUUAAUCGCCAACAGAACAGAAGUAAGUAAGCUAUAUUGCUUCGAUUUCGUUUUGCUUGUUUCUGGGUAAUCUCUCUCGUAUUCGAUUUGAGUGUCUUAAAUUUUUAUUCUUGGAUUCGAAUUUUAAGGCGUGGAUGAGUCGAUUUGUGUGUGCGUUACUUUUUUCUUCUGUGGAAGCUGAUUACUGGGUUUAAUUUUGUGUUUUGGAGUUCACUGGCUUUGAAGACUAUAUUUUUAUUAUAUGCUCAUUAAUUGUUUUUCCAAAGAACGUUGGAAAGAUUUCACUAAGAUCCUUCUCAGGAGUGUCGUAAGAGCCCAGCCACAUACGUUUUCUGCUGUUGGGGAGCCUGAUCUCUGAAACCCAUUUCUCCCAUUUCCUCUUCUUCACGCUUUUGUACUUUGACUGCAUGGACAACAAAGACGACGCUCUUCUCGCUCUUCGAUAGCUUUGGUCUGAUUUUGAAUUGGAUAGUAGAGUUUGUAUAUAUGUAUGCGACGAAAAGAGUAAAGAGUGCGGUUUUGAAUUUUUAAACACAGCUAGAUUUGGAUCCUAGAAUCAUAGAAGAAGAAUGCAGUCAAGCGUUUCACAAGAAUGGGUGGCCUGAUGCACGACAAUUCCUGGAGGACGCUAAGUCGGUUGGCCAGCUGCGGAGUGAGAGAAUGGCCUAUUUCCAGUUCUUCACCUUUCGAUUUGCAUAGUAUCAACAUGAGUAGAUGAUUCUCGGUGAAAACAGAAAAACAAACUGGUUUGAUUACAUGUGAACCUUUGACAGAUUCAGAAGUUUGGGCCAAACAACUCUAACGACAAAGAGCCAGGAAUGUACUCGCCACAAGAUCUAUCUCAAUGGCUAACGAGAUUACAGAGGAAGAUGACCAGAUUCGUGAGCUAAAGGUCUCUUUUUUCGUUACAUAUCGGUGAUAUGUUGGCGGGUUUCUUUAGACGGAAUCCAGACCUUGCAAGUUUCACAUCACAGCAGAAGUGGGAAGAUGCUUCCAUCUUGGAUUACGAGAUGGAUAUUGAGCCAGGUUUGCAAGUUUUAGACCAGAUGAAAGCUUUUGCGAGCAAAGACAACAACAAGUUUUGAGAUUUCCUACAAGGCAAUAAAGGUCAAGCUUGAGAUCCGAGGACGAGCAACCUAUCCUUUAUUCACAAGUUAAUAUACAAAACCUGUAUAAACUUAUUUUUUAAUUAUGUACGUUUACUUUGUAAUACUGAUCUUUUGUAUCAUGGUUUCAUUUUU